UAAAUUUUAAAAAAUAAGUUACAAAGAUGAAUAAUGCUCAUAACGCCUCAUUAAUUGUUUAUACGUUUUUGUGUUAUUGUUUGUUUAAUAUGUAAGUAUUUAAAACCAUUAUUAUUUAUUACCAAUCAAUAUUUAUAUUGUUGGGUAAACAAAUUUCGGAACAUCUUUCGUCUUGUUAAUGUAGCUGGCAAGCAAAGCGGCGUUAUGAAUAAAUUUAAGUUGCUAUAGAAACAAUGUUCUGUUGAUUGUCACUUGUGCCAUAGAAAAUAAAAAGAGCUAUCCAUUGUGUAUUCCUACUGUUGUAUUAAAUUAAUUUCGUGGACAAAUCUAUCUUCUAUUUUUCUACUGUAAAAUCACACUCAGCCACACGCUCACACACGUCUGACAGUGACAAGACAAGGGAUUUUUCUUGUUUUGACGUAUUUUCUAACCUCUUAGAAUGUUUUAGAAGUCGUAAUAAAAUAAUUUGAAUAUAAAGCUAUGUUUUAAAGUAAAUAAAGACCAUAUUAACGAUGUUAACAUCUGAGAUGAGACAUCGAUUUUAUGGAAUGGAGGAGAAGAUUUAACAGCUAGAAAUUAACAAAAAUCCUGCAAGAGCAUCGAGAUCUCGCUUUUGGCGAGUGGAAGUCCAAAGGCAAAGUGUAGCGGUUUGCAGUUUUUAGCCUCACUUUUUUGGACCUAACAAGACAGGAAAAGAAUAGUCAAAGAGGAAACCCGAGUAGCCAGAUGAUAAUAUAUGAAACCAUGAGCAGCCAGCCAUUGAAACUCUCAGCAAUUUGAAUAACAAUUUUGAUUAUUACCAAUCAUGUAUCAUACCUAUUAAUAGAAAAUUAAAACUGUUAGGUA